UACGUAGGGUGCAAGCGUUAAUCGGAAUUACUGGGCGUAAAGCGUGCGUAGACGGUUGCGUAAGUCAGAUGUGAAAGCCCCGGGCUCAACCUGGGAAUUGCAUUUGAGACUGCGUAGCUAGGGUGCGGAAGAGGGAAGCGGAAUUUCCGGUGUAGCGGUGAAAUGCGUAGAUAUCGGAAGGAACACCAGUGGCGAAAGCGACUUCCUGGACCAAUACUGACGCUCAUGUGCGAAAGCGUGGGGAGCAAACAGG
rnacentral:rRNA from 1 species